UGGAUCCAGACUUUGAUCAUGGCUCAGGAUGAACGCUAGCGGCAGGCUUAACACAUGCAAGUCGAGGGGCAGCGCGGGAUAGCAAUAUCCUGGCGGCGACCGGCGGAAGGGUGCGUAACGCGUGAGCGACAUGCCCGUUGCCCGGGGACAACCGGUGGAAACGCCGACUAAUCCCCGAUGUGAUACGAUGCUUCAUGGCAUUGUAUUGAAAGUUACGGCGGCGACGGAUUGGCUCGCGUCCGAUUAGCUGGUUGGCGGGGUAACGGCCCACCAAGGCUACGAUCGGUAGGGGUUCUGAGAGGAAGGCCCCCCACAAUGGGACUGAGACACGGCCCAUACUCCUACGGGAGGCAGCAGUGAGGAAUAUUGGUCAAUGGGCGGAAGCCUGAACCAGCCAUGCCGCGUGCGGGAAGGAGGCCCUAUGGGCUGUGAACCGCUUUUGCCUGGGGGCAAUAAGGGCGUCGCGCACGUCCGAUGAGAGUACCAGGCGAAUAAGCAUCGGCUAACUCCGUGCCAGCAGCCGCGGUAAUACGGGGGAUGCGAGCGUUAUCCGGAUUCAUUGGGUUUAAAGGGUGCGUAGGCUGUGCGUCAAGUCGGGGGUGAAAUUCCGGUGCUCAACACCGGGGCUGCCCUUGAUACUGUCGCGCUGGAGUGCGGAUGCCGCCGGAGGAAUGAGUGGUGUAGCGGUGAAAUGCUUAGAUAUCACUCAGAACACCGAUUGCGAAGGCAUCUGGCGAAUCCGUAACUGACGCUGAGGCACGAAAGCGUGGGGAUAGAACAGGAUUAGAUACCCUGGUAUUCCACGCCGUAAACGAUGAUGGCUAACCGCCGGCGACACACUGUCGGUGGCCGAGCGAAAGCGAUAAGCCAUCCACCUGGGGAGUACGUCGGCAACGAUGCAACUCAAAGGAAUUGACGGA
rnacentral:rRNA from 1 species